UACGGAGGGUGCAAGCGUUAUCCGGAUUUACUGGGCUUAAAGGGAGCGUAGGUGGGUCGAUAAGUCAGUGGUGAAAUCUUCGAGCUUAACUCGGAAACUGCCAUUGAUACUAUCGAUCUUGAAUUAUCUGGAGGUAAGCGGAAUAUGUCAUGUAGCGGUGAAAUGCUUAGAUAUGACAUAGAACACCCAUUGCGAAGGCAGCUUACUACGGAUAUAUUGACACUGAGGCUCGAAAGCGUGGGGAUCAAACAGG
rnacentral:rRNA from 1 species